CCUGCGCGGAGAUCGGGGUGUUGGAGUAGCGGCAGACAGCAGACGGCACUGGUGGUUGGGGCUGGUUGCUUUGUUUCUGGGCCUUUUUGCCCUACGCCUGGGGGGCCAGCUCGGUGUCCCUCAGCGCCUUGCCUUCACCUCAGCUGUCUUCUUUUCGGGCGGCUCGAAGAGCAGGCUAAACCUCACAUCAAGCUGAAUUCUGAAGAUAUGUUGGCACCUGUGCACAAGCUCCCUAUACUGGACGCAUGAAACAAACCAGAACUAUCUAAGUCAGGGGAUUCCAAUCAACUGGUCAAGUUUAAGAGAUGGACCUGACAGGGUACUAGAUAUAUGAGUAGCUCCACGAACACCUGCUGAGAAAAUAAGUGAAUGGCUAGACAAGUGAGGUCGUUACCUAACCCGUCAUAAAUUAUACUGGAAUCCCCACUUUCCAGGAGAAGAAAAAAUGCCCAAGACUGAUGUUUCUGAGGAUUAAACACCUAGAUAGGGUGACAGUACCCUGACAUACUCAAGUUCUAGAAGCAAGCUGCUCCCUAUUACCCUCGCCCUCCUCAAGAAGCUGAUCCAUCCGUACUUCAAAUGAAGAAGUAACUACCAAGUAACUGUCAGGGGCCGUGGAGGAUGCUAGGAAUACAGACAUCUACUAUCUUCAGGGAUUGGAAUUCACAGUCUACAGGAGCAUAAACAUACAAGUCCCAAACUCUGACUUUGCUCCCCAAAUCUGCUUCAGCCUCAGUCUUCCUCACCUCAACGGAGAUACCCCAUCCUCCUCCCAGCUGCUCAAGGCUGAAAUAGGAAAAUCAUCCUUAUUCCUCUCCUGCCCUAUUCCCUGGUUCCUGUUCAUUCUGCCUCUGAAAAGUAUCUGAAAUCAUCUUGCUUCUGUCACCACUGCCACCCUCCUCGCCCAAACUGGGACCACUGCAACAGCCUCCGACUGGUCCCGUCUUCUGCUUUUCAUCCCCUGCAAUCCACACAGCAGUGACACGCCUUGAAGAAGAAUCAAUGAAUUUAGUCAUUUCUGAGAAACCAAGGAGGACUGUUGGAGGAGGCUGGCAUCCCUGGGCAGGUAACCCAGCCUCGACUGCUUUGGCAACAGGUCAAGGCUAAUAUUUGCCCAAGAAGGGCCUUUUCAUGGGAUGAUCUUUCCAACCCGUUGACUACAACAAGCUGGCCCUCAGUCUUUUUUCCAUAGAGAGGGGAUUUUUCCCCCAGAACAAGCAGGCCUUUUGUACCAGAAGGAAAAGAUUGCCACUCACCACUUGCUACUUUAUGGCCUUCAAGCCCAAACCCAGGUGCUAGCUGUGAGACCCAACUCUGCCACAGACCAGCAUCUUUAUGGAAAAGCUCUCACCCACAAGCAUAAGGGGUUUUCCUGGGAGAAAGAAAGCCAUGUUCUUUUGAGAAACCAAUGAAUACUAAGUAGAUGCCACCAAAGCCAAGGAUAGCUUGUGAAGGCCCAGUGUCUUGGGACAGGAAAGACAAGGGGCCACCAGCCAGGUCUGGUUGAGAUGAGGCCAAACUUAGCUCCAGACCAAGACUUCAUCUCCCAUUUCCUGACAAACUGGUGAUUGCUGAGUUCCACAUUAAUUCUGAUAUAAAGACUCCUUGAAAUUUGCAAUUGUAAUUAUUGAUUCACUUGUUUGUCUCAUCACCACCCCCAAACUAUUUUUAUUGCUUGAUAGUAGGGAAGGAAUAUCUUUAUCUUCAUAUCAUCAGUGAUUAAUUAAUACACAUCAAAUAAAGAGAUGGGGAAUAGAUUACAUA